UGAUUAUGGCUGAUGGCAUUACCACCCUCUGCAAUGAUCUUCAGGUGGAUCCUCAAGAUAUUGUUAUGUUAGUUGUUUCAUGGCACAUGAAGGCUGCUACCAUGUGCUAAU